rnacentral:rRNA from 1 species
GACAGAGGGUGCAAACGUUGUUCGGAAUUACUGGGCGUAAAGCGCGUGUAGGCGGCCCUGCAAGUCGGAUGUGAAAUCCCACGGCUCAACUGAGGAAGUGCACCCGAAACUGAGUAGCUGGAGUACGAAAGAGGGUCGCGGAAUUCCCGGUGUAGAGGUGAAAUUCGUAGAUAUCGGGAGGAACACCGGUGGCGAAGGCGGCGACCUGGGUCGAUACUGACGCUGAGGCGCGAAAGCGUGGGGAGCAAACAGG